CUGAACUGGGUCAUGCACCUUCUAGAUGUAUGCAGAUUCAACAUGAAGCUCUUACAAAUAUUGAAGGAUGUUGAGUUACCGGUGGAUGUUUAUCUUGAGCACUACAGCUAGAGGUCCUUCAGAAGAGAAACCAUUAUGUUAUUUUCACUGAGAAGUCUCCUGCUAAUCAUAUUGGUGCUUCUUUGAAGAAACACACAUCAUAUUUCUAUAGCCCUAUCUUUUACAAUAAAUUUUAAAAUUAAAUAUUGGCUAUUAUAAAGAAAUACUACAGAUAAUCCAGAAGAUAUCAUUGUCCUGUAGAGUUUCUACCUUUUCUACUGUGAGGCAGAUUGGAGGCUGAUCACCUGAUUC